rnacentral:tRNA from 5 species
GCCGGCAUAGCUCAGAUGGUAGAGCAACUGACUUGUAAUCAGUAGGUCCGCAGUUCGACUCCGCGUGCCGGCACCA